UGUGGCAUCUCCUCUCAGAGGGACUGCGACAUCUCCUCUCAGAGGGACUGCGACAUCU
rnacentral:miRNA from 1 species